rnacentral:rRNA from 1 species
ACUCCUACGGGAGGCAGCAGUGGGGAAUAUUGCACAAUGGGGGAAACCCUGAUGCAGCGACGCCGCGUGAGUGAAGAAGUAUUUCGGUAUGUAAAGCUCUAUCAGCAGGGAAGAUAAUGACGGUACCUGACUAAGAAGCCCCGGCUAACUACGUGCCAGCAGCCGCGGUAAUACGUAGGGGGCAAGCGUUAUCCGGAUUUACUGGGUGUAAAGGGAGCGUAGGUGGCAAGUCAAGUCAGAUGUGAAAGCCCGGGGCUCAACUCCGGGAUUGCAUUUGAAACUGGUUUGCUAGAGUGCAGGAGAGGUAAGUGGAAUUCCUAGUGUAGCGGUGAAAUGCGUAGAUAUUAGGAGGAACACCAGUGGCGAAGGCGGCUUACUGGACUGUAACUGACACUGAGGCUCGAAAGCGUGGGGAGCAAACAGGAUUAGAUACCCUGGUAGUC